rnacentral:lncRNA from 1 species
CGUCGGUGAUGUCAUCGGUGACGUCAUCGGCGAUGUCGUCGUCGGGGCCCGGGGGCCGUUCCAAGGGCAGGAAGGGCGUGAUGUCAUCAUCGGCGGUGACGUCAUCGGCGAGGUCGUCCCAGGCGCCGUCGAGGUCCCCGGUGACGUCACCCAGCAGGGAGGAGGUGACGUCAUCGGCGGUGAUGACGUCAUCAGUGGGGAGGGAGCUCGGGCCGGGGAUGGUGACGUCAUCGUCCUCGGUGACGUCAUCGAGGAGGUCGUUUUGAUGAGUGACGUCAUCGGGGAAGUCAUCCUGGAGGAUGACGUCAUCGCCAAGAUGCCCCCAGGCUAUGACGUCAUCGGUGACGUCAUCCCCGGGCAGGGACGGGACGCGGCGGACGGCGAUGACGUCAUCGAUGUGGGCCCCCACGCUGACGGCGUCAUCGGUGACGUCACCUCCCGCCGUGACAUCAUCGCCCCCGGGGAGCGGGGGCGUGGCAUCGCCCCAGGUGAUGACGUCACCAGGGAAGCCACGCUCGAUGACGUCAUUGGUGAGGGUGUGCAGUGUGAUGACAUCAUCGGUGAUGACGUCAUCGGUGAUGACGUCAUCGGUGACAUCGUCCUGAUCUUGCGGGAAGACGCUCUCUGCGGUGACAUCAUCGGUGACGUCAUGGGCGAUGAUGUCAUCAAUGAAGCCACGCCCAGGGACGGUGACAUCAGCGGUGACGUCACUCAUGGGGACGGUGAUGUCAUCGGCGACGCCACUCCCAACGUGGGAGGUGAUGACGUCACUGUCAGCAAUGACGUCACCAUCGAGAGCUUCCCGCGGGGCAGAGGAAGUGACGUCAUCGCCGUCGGUGACACCGGCGGUGACAUCAUCCCCCGGCACAGCGGAAGUGACGUCACCCUCGGCUGUGACGUCACCGGCGGGCGGAGGGGAGGGGCUGCCCCGCCCCUCAAUGACGUCAUCGCCCUCCCCACCCACGGGGACCUCUGCAGCGAUGACGUCAUAGGCCGUGACGUCAUCAUCGGAGACUUCCUCUUCCUCUGGGG